rnacentral:lncRNA from 1 species
CUCUCGGCUCCGGUGCUCCCGGCAUCCGCAGACAUUGCAGGGCUCACCCCAUGCAAGGAUUCUAAACAGUUUGCUAAGAGGGAAAAGCAACAACUCAAGAAGCUCGAGUCCUCACUCAAAAUUUAUGCACCAGAUAGUGCUCCUGCCCUUGCCAUCAAAGCAACCAUGGAGAAGACCAAGAGAAGGUAGUUAACAAUAUUAUGGACCAUAAUCAAUAUAAGCAAUGUUGUAAUUGGCUAUAACUAUGAAAAUUGUAUAUAUGCAGGUUUGAUAACUAUGGAAAGCAAGGUUUGUUAUGUGGAUCAGAUGGAUUACCACAUCUGAUAGUGAGUGGUGAUCAAAGACACUGGGGAGAGUUCAUUACUCCAGGGAUUUUGUUCUUGUAUAUUGCCGGAUGGAUUGGAUGGGUCGGAAGGAGCUACCUGAUUGCAAUCAGAGAUGAGAAGAAGCCGACACAGAAGGAGAUCAUCAUCGAUGUUCCGUUGGCAUCAAAGCUCCUCUUCAGAGGCUUCAGCUGGCCUGUGGCUGCUUACAGAGCUUACCUCAAUGGAGAUCUGAUUGACCCCUCUGU